CCACUCACCAAAAUAAAAGCUGGACAUUCGGGGAGAAAUACAAAAAUUACAAGAACAAUUUAGCAUUAUUGAUAUUGUUUAUAUUUGAGCAAAAUAACACAUUACCCAUGGAGAAAUGCAUUGCAUGAAAUUCCUUUUAAAACUGUAAACAUUUCUCUCUGCUCCUUGGUGAAAUUUGUAUAGAAUUGCAGGAAAUUGUUGUGAAAAUGCAUUUCUCUACAUCACCAAGAUGAGGCUUGAUUUUUCUCUCUGAUGCCAAAAGGCGGGCCUUUAAAAUAUUCCUUCCCAGGGUGCACUAUGGGUGUCAUUGCUGUCUUUAUUUAGUCAGCCAGCCAGCCAACACACCGGCUGUCUUUAUUUAGUCAGCCAGCCAGCCAACAGACCGGCUGUCUUUAUUUAGUCAGCCAGCCAGCCAACACACCGGCUGUCUUUAUUUAGCCAGCCAGCCAACAGACCGGCUGUCUUUAUUUAGCCAGCCAGCCAACAGACCGGCUGUCUUUAUUUAGUCAGCCAGCCAGCCAACAGACCGGCUGUCUUUAUUUAGUCAGCCAGCCAGCCAACAGACCGGCUGUCUUUAUUUNNNNNNNNNNNNNNNNNNNNNCCGGCUGUCUUUAUUUAGUCAGUCAGUCAGUCAGCCAACAGACC
rnacentral:lncRNA from 13 species